rnacentral:ncRNA from 2 species
CGCUCAUCCAGAGGGGCAGAGGGAACGGCCCGUAGAAGCCCCGGCAACCCUUCCGCCGGUCUCGUGACGUACACGAGGUCACCGGUGGGGAAGGUGCCAAUUCCGUCCUGCGGCGAGAUACGUCGCGGGGAAGAUGAGGA